GCCUGUUUAGCUCAGUUGGCAGAGCAUCUGAUUUGUAAUCAGAAGGUCAAGUGUUCGAUUCACUUAACAGGCA
rnacentral:tRNA from 1 species